rnacentral:rRNA from 1 species
AUACGGAGGGUGCAAGCGUUAUCCGGAAUCACUGGGCGUAAAGGACGCGUAGGCGGGUUGGCAAGUCAGAUGUGAAAUCCUACAGCUUAACUGUAGAACUGCAUUUGAAACUGCUAACCUAGAGUAUGGGAGGGGGAGAUGGAAUUAGUCGUGUAGGGGUAAAAUCCGUAGAUAUCACUAGGAAUACCGAAAGCGAAGGCGAUCUCCUGGAACAUAACUGACGCUAAGGCGUGAAAGCGUGGGGAGCAAACAGGAUUAGAUACCCCAGUAGUCC